UUAUGUUUUGGUUUUUUGGGUUACAUAUUAUCUCUGAGUUUUCUUACAAAUGAUCUCAUUAAGGUUAAGGCAUGACCGGUUAGAAAUAUGCAUGUUUAGAUCACAUACCAUUUAAUUUUCAUGCCACACAUCCAUGCUUGAUCAAUGUCAUUUAGUUAUACUGAUAUACAUUAUCAUUGAUGGGUUUAUUUACGACAGCUAUAGCGAAGACCGUUUUGAUCCUACGUUAUUAUGAUUGAUGGAUGGGAUUAUUUGGUGAUGCAUUCAGGUAUUGAUAGUAUAAUUCUAAGUACUCCUAUGGUUAU
rnacentral:lncRNA from 1 species